CUACAAUCUGCCAUUGUCACACCAGACUGACCACAGACCUGUAUCACUGAUCAAUUUUUAAAAAUGCAUUCAAAGGAACACCUCAUUCAAAGCAUUGCCAACACCUGCAGUUGGAUAUUUGAUUAGCUGUCAGUGAUGGCGUGAAAUGUUAUAUGUCCAGGUUUCAGCAGGACAAGCAUUGUGCCCCAUCCAUAAGAGAGAGCAGAUUAAGCUUUUCUGUGUGACUUGUGAUCAGCGGACUUGCCGUGAUUACCUCGACUAACCUGUACCAGUUAGCCCAGGAUGCUUUGCCAGAGCAGAGGAAAUGGUUACAGUAUCUAAUGGAGACUUUGAGGACAGAGAGAGUGACCGUGCAACAGGACCUAGAUGGACGGCUGUCUGACUUGGAGGAUCAGCUGGAGAGUGUUGGAGCGGAGGUCAAGGAUAUCCUCAAGGGCAUCUGGAGUGUCCUGGUGAAGAGAGCCAUGCAGCUUUCCAAGGAAAUGCAGCUUUAGGUCAGUGUCCCCAACUGCACUCAGGAAGAUGACAUUGACCUCACCCUUCACCUAGCAAUGAACUCUGCUCUCCUAUAGAGGAGUGUGAUGACCGUAUGGAUGAUUUUCAUGUCGGUGCUGCUGACAGUAUUGAAGAGACUGGGUGCCAGGUGUCUGUUGGGCUUAAUAGCAGGUGUCUUUGCUUCGGAUACCCAUCCUUGGUGCCCCGCCAACCCGCUUCUGCCGCCUCCCAGGUGUCAAAGGGCAGGAAACUGUCGUUCAGCAGUCAGAGUCUCCUUGCUCCUCUAUGUUGAGCCCAGACAGUCUUGAGGCACACCCCGUGCAGCUACGACCCCCUCCUGGCCAGGAGGAAGCUCACCCCUGUGUGUCACGUGUGGACGCCGCUUCCACAGGAAGUGUCACAUUCUGCCCAUCUAUGCCUUAUCCACCACUGUCGGCUGUGCCGGGACCUCUGAUCUAGCGUUGCUGCAGGACUACAGUAGGACUGACAAAGAACUGUGUAUGAGCUUUCCUGACCAAAUGGUGAGCCUUUUUUACUUCGCAGAGCAUGUCUGGGCACGUCUGCUACCUUUCACCUGGAAUAUGCGCAUCUGGGUACAUACGACUGCAUGCCCAGUUCUGUCUACGCAUGUGUGGUAUUGUUUGCUGUGUCCGCAUCUAGUACUUAUUGACCCUGAUCCUAUUUUAGUGGAGAUGGUCUGUUUUUAGAUCCAGGGAAUCAUUUUUGAAUUGAAAAAGACAAGGGUAGAAUCAAAAUGUAAACCAUGUAUUUCUGAUGUGACCGGAUCUUGAUUGGUUAUUUUAACUCACUCAUCCAAAGUUUUUUUUUUUUUUUGUCUGGCCAUUAAAUCACCAUUGCUUCUGUUAGUUUUCCCACUCCAAGGUGCUUGUUUGUCCAGUGUAGUCUACAGCAGUGUUUCUAACUCCAGUUUGCCCAACAGCACACAUUUGUGUUGUUGCCCCAAACAAACUCACCUGAUUCAACUCAUUGAGGGCCUGAUGAUUAGUUGACUCGGGUGUGCUUGUCCAGGGCUACAACAAAUAUUUGUGCUGUUUGGGGUACUGGAAGACUGGAGUUGGGAAACACUGGUGUGUGUGAACCAUCGCUUACCCUUUGGGCUCGACCCUACAGAGAUGUGAGCGCCUACUGCUUGUCCUUUCAUGCAAAAAGUACAGCAUUGUCCUCUACAGACCAGGAAAGGUAAUCGACAAGUGUAACUUAACGCAUUUAUGCAUACAUAUCCUUAGCAUCCCUCUUUUAGUAUUUCCAUAGAUAGUGUUGGCUAUUAAAAUGUCACACAUAAUCACAAGACUUUGAAUAUCGAUGUGAAUUUAAUGUUAAUAAAGAAUGUUGGUGAUGGUGUUCACUGGAAUGUUUAUUGCCAAAUACGUUGCUGACAAAUGACUGGUCCCUUUAAUGAAGAAUGACUUCAAUUGUGUGUGUCAGAUAUACUGUAUACAAUUGCAGUUUGAUGUUAGUCCGUUGUCUUGACUAGAGAAAUAUUGUAUUUUGACUCUCCCUCUCCUUAGCUCUCUUAACAUCGUCCUGAUACGGGGACUGUUGCUGCGGAAACUGCCCCCUCCCCUCACCGCACCCAGUCAGAAUUUGUGUCCAAUGUCUGGCUUCUCCACACACUGUUGAAGAGCGUGAAGUAUUCCAAGUCAGUGGACCGAUUUGAGGCAUGUUUCGGGAGGGAGCUGGUCAAAACGCUUGUGGGGAUCCUGCACCCUUCGCUGCUCGUCAACCCCCACCAAGGGGAAGCGGAGAGGAGUGCAGAACAAGAGGGGGGCAAGGAGAAAGUGUCCAUGAGGAGAAUCCAAGGCCUCUAGAGGAGCACGCAGGCAGAGUUCUUUCACACAGGACUCGAUGAAAGCUGGAGAAUGGCAGCAGAAGGCCGUAUUUGUGUAUUUAAUUUGGUCUUUGAAUUCCUUGGUGAACAUAUUUGUACAUAGUUGCAGCCAAAUAUUGGCACCCUUGCACUUUUUUUUCCUUUAAAAAAAAAAAUUUCUUCUAAAAUAACUUGAAAUUUGGAAAAACCUUUGGUAUCUACACCUUACUGUAUUUUCAACAUUACAGACCCAAUUUACCCAAUUGGUAAAUUUAAGUUUACAAUUUGGCAUGUACAAAAUGAUUGGCAAGUACUUGGUUGCAUAGCCUUUGGCCAAGAACUACAGACAAAUGCUUCUUGUAGGCAUCAGUAAGGUGGCUGCAUCUUAUUACUGGUGAUUUUACUCAGCCUUCAGAAGCAAACUGCUCUAAUUCUUUAAUGUUUGAGGGGUGCCCUCCACCAACUGCUGUUGUCAGCUCUCGCCAUAGGUUAUGGAUGUGGCAACUGCUCGGCCUCGUUCCUGCCAUCCAGGACCUCCUAUACCAGGCGGUGUCAGAGGAGGCCCUAAAAAUUGUCAGACUCCAGCCACCCUAGUCAUAGACUGUUCUCUCUGCUACCACACGGCAAGCUGUGCCAAGUCUAGGUCCAAAGGUCUUAACAGCUUCUACCCCCAAGCCAUAACUCCUGAACAGCUAAUCAAAUGGCUACCCAGACUAUUUUCAUUGCCCCCUUUCCUGCACCUAUUUUAUGCUGCUGCUACUCUCUGUGUAUUAUCUAUACAUAGUCACUUUAACUCUACCUACAUGUACAUAUUACUUCUACUAACCGGUACCUACUCACAUUGACUCUGUACCGGUAGCCCCUGUAUAUAGCCUCGCUAUUUGUUAUUUUACUGCUGCUCUUUAAUCAUUUGUUACUUUUUAUAUAAUUUGGUUGUGUGUGUAUAUAUAAAAAAUAAAAUAUAUAUAUAUUUUUUUUUACUUAACACUUGUUUUUCUUACAAGUUAAGUAAGCAUUUCACUGUAAGGUCAACACCGGUUGUAUUCGGCGCAUGUGACAAAUACAAUUUGAUUUGAUUCAGAUCUGGCCACUCCAGAACAGUCCAGCGUUUCUUCUUGAACCAUUCCAGGGUGCCUUUAUAUUUGUUUGGGGUUGUUGUCCUGCUGAAAUUACCAUCAACCUUCCAACCGAGACCAAGUGUUUGGACACUGGGUUGAACAUUGCACUCCAAAACACCUUCAUAAUCUGCGGUUUUGCUUAUGUACAAGGCCCCAAGCACUAGAGGCAGCAAAGCAACCCCACAGCAUUAUCAAACCUUCCCUAUGUGUGUAGUUAUUUUCUUAAUUUGGUUGUUGGUUAACAUAGGAAGCCCCCCACUGCCGAAGAAGACUCAAGAAAGCCUGAUUGAAUGCUGGACUGUAGUGGAGUGGCCAGCCAAUAUUCCAGAUCUACAUCCCAUCCAAAACCUAUGGUAAGAGCUGAAAAUAGCAGUUGGAAGAAUAAGAGCAAUUUGCUGUGAAGUGGGACAAAUUGCCAGUAGGAAGGUGCAGCAAGCUCAUUGAUGGUACAAGAAGUGUUUGUCUGCAGUUGGCCAAAGGCUGUAAUUUUGUCUGCCAAUUGUUUUUCUUUUCUAAAUUAGUAGUUUGCAAAAAUACAAUGGGUUCUAGAAUGUUGCAAAUCCAAGGUCUGGAGACAAAGUUCUCAAUUUCAAACUAUUUUUGAAGAAAUGGGGAAUUAAUUGAGAAGUGCAAGGGUGCCAACUAGUUUGUUACAAAGUUUAUCCCUUGUGUAAAAAUCAACAAUGUUGCACAUGGUUUGACUUUUGGGAUUUAAUUCACCUUUUGUCU
ensembl:lncRNA